CCUACGGGAGGCAGCAGUGAGGAAUAUUGGUCAAUGGACGAGAGUCUGAACCAGCCAAGUAGCGUGAAGGAUGACUGCCCUAUGGGUUGUAAACUUCUUUUAUAUGGGAAUAAAAUGUUCCACGUGUGGGAUUUUGUAUGUACCAUAUGAAUAAGGAUCGGCUAACUCCGUGCCAGCAGCCGCGGUAAUACGGCGGAUCCGAGCGUUAUCCGGAUUUAUUGGGUUUAAAGGGAGCGUAGGUGGAUUGUUAAGUCAGUUGUGAAAGUUUGCGGCUCAACCGUAAAAUUGCAGUUGAAACUGGCAGUCUUGAGUACAGUAGAGGUGAGCGGAAUUCGUGGUGUAGCGGUGAAAUGCUUAGAUAUCACGAAGAACUCCGAUUGCGAAGGCAGUUCACUGGACUGCAACUGACACUGAGGCUCGAAAGUGUGGGUAUCAAACAGGAUUAGAUACCCUUGUAGUC
rnacentral:rRNA from 1 species